AUGUCAGUUUCAGAUACGAACCUUAAUAAUGGAGAAAAGCCCAUCUCCGAAACUACCGAUGCGGAACUCGCCGAAAAGCAUGGUCAUAUGAAGUUAGUAUGCUCACAGAUAAGGUUCGGAAAAACCAUAAAACUGUUGUCAGAAGACCACAAAAAGUACAUCAUAUCAGAAACCAGUCUUGGCGGACUAACCCAGAUGCAUGAAGUGACUCUACGUCGCAUAAUGUUGGUUAGACUAGCCAAGAGCAUAGAUAUGGACACGAAAUCCAUUACCAUCGGUAAAACGCCAAUUCCUAUAACAAAAGAGGACGUGCAAGGUAUAUUUGGCAUUCCGAUAGAAGGGGAGGAUAUAGAGCCACAUCUGGAAAAUCAAACCGACACAGAAUUGUUUACCGCCUAUGCAAACAAUGGGCAAGUUUUGAUUUCUGACCUUGAAACGGCGAUCCGAGCUUCCAAAGCCCCAGACGGUGAUUUCCUGAGAUGGUUCAUUCUGUACGCAAUUGGUACUGUUCUAGCACCAACAGCACAACAUUAUGUGGACUCGAAAUAUCUCAACCUUGUUACAGAUCUUGAAAACCUUCGAAAAUUUAACUAG
rnacentral:rRNA from 1 species